rnacentral:lncRNA from 1 species
AUGAAAGUGGCAUUGGAUAAGGUCAUUGAAAUUGUGACUGACUGUAAACCGAAUGGAGAGACUGACAUUUCAUCUGUCAGUAUUUUUACUGGAAUUAAGGAAUUCAAGAUGAAUAUUGAAGCUCUUCGGGAGAAUCUUUAUUUUCAGUCCAAAGAGAAUCUUUCUGUGACAUUGGAAGUCAUCUUGGAGCGUACAGAGGACUUCACUGAUUCUGCCUACACCAGCCAUGAGCACAGGGAACGCAUCUUGGAACUGUCAACUCAGGCGAGAAUGGAACUGCAGCAGUUAAUUUCUGUGUGGAUUCAAGCUAGUGAAGAACAGAGGAGUAGACCCCCAUCUAGAAGUUCUUGGGACCUGAGCCUGACUGCUGGAGCCAUUCAGAUGUACACAGUUCUUACCUCUGAGGACAGCUGAUUUACAGACACAAUGAUUUGGAAAACUUAUUGGGGUGUAGAUUCAAUGAAAACAAGGGUAGAUCCAGCUGGCAAGUAAAAGCUUUUCACCCUUGCACAAAUUCCUGGUCUAAAAUUGGUGGGCGGCCACUCUAUGAGCCUUAAAUGGGCUGUUGGUGUGCUUCAAGCAGAGGAGCUUAUUUGGGCAAGAAUGAACGGCCAAGACUGAUGGAAAUGGGACAGCAUAAGAAGUGUGUACACAGUCUCUUAUAGCAGGUGGAUUGCAAAAUGGAGAGACAGAGCCCUGGGAUAUGUCUCUAGGAUUAUUUAUUUCUUAGGCCCAGGCUCUGUCAAAAAAGUAUUUAACAUGGCUUACAAUAUACAGCAGCCAUAGUACAAAUCUGAAAGUCAUGAACAAAGCUUUGGCAGUAAAGAUGAUGAAGGAGGGUGGAUAUGGCUGAGACUGAAUUAAGAAGCAGCAGUUGAUUUCCUUGUAAAUAGAUUAAUUUAUGAAUGAACAUAGAUAUGAAUCACAGAUUUCUCAGAUAUUUUCUUGGCAUCACAGUAGUGCACAUAUUCUUAUUAACACGGAAUCUUGCCCUAAAGUAGAGUGGUGUGAGAGACUUGAGCAUUGUUUUGUGUUUAGUUUGAAUUAUCUGUGUGAUACACAAUCUGAAGUGUAGAUUGCUUCAGUGU